UACGUAGGUGGCAAGCGUUAUCCGGAAUUACUGGGCGUAAAGCGCACGCAGGCGGUCUUUUAAGUUUGACGUGAAAGCUCCCGGCUUAACUGGGAGAGGUCGUUGAAGACUGGGAGACUUGAGGCAAUGAGAGGGGUGUAGAAUUCCUGGUGUAGUGGUGGAAUGCGUAGAUAUCAGGAGGAAUACCAGUGGCGAAAGCGGCACCCUAGCGUUGUUCUGACGCUCAUGUGCGAAAGCGUGGGGAGCGAACGGG
rnacentral:rRNA from 1 species